UACGGAGGGUGCAAGCGUUGUCCGGAUUUAUUGGGUUUAAAGGGUGCGUAGGUGGCCUUAUAAGUCAGCGGUGAAAGUCUGCAGCUUAACUGUAGAACUGCCAUUGAUACUGUAAGGCUUGAGUACUGAUGAGGUGGGCGGAAUUGACAGUGUAGCGGUGAAAUGCAUAGAUAUUGUCAAGAACACCGAUUGCGAAGGCAGCUCACUAAGGAGUCACUGACACUGAGGCACGAAAGCGUGGGGAUCAAACAGG
rnacentral:rRNA from 1 species